GACGAACGCUGGCGGCGUGCCUAAUACAUGCAAGUAGGACGCAGUUGCGAACGGGUAAGUAACGCGUAGGUAACUACCUAUUAGUGGGGGAUAACUAUUGGAAAAGAUAGCUAAUACCGCCUACUAGUAGAUGGACCUGCGGUGUAUUAUCUAGUAGGUAGGGUAAUGGCCUACCUAGGCAACGAUACAUAGCCGACCUUGUAGGGUGAUCCGCCAAACCGGGACGGAGACACGGGCCAAACUCCUACGGGAGGCAGCAGUAGGGAAUCUUCGGCAAUGGGGGGAACCCUGACCGAGCAACGCCGCGGGAGUGAAGAAGGUUUUCUGAUCGUAAAGCUCUGUUGUUAAGGAAGCGGUACUUAACCAGAAAGGGACGGCUAACUACGUGCCAGCAGCCGCGGUAAUUC
rnacentral:rRNA from 1 species